CGGCCCAAGGUCGCAGGGGUUGUGGCUGCGGCCGGGCACCCCGCAGUGAGAGACCCGGUCGCAGCUGCGACCCCUGCGACCGUGGU